rnacentral:snRNA from 1 species
GUGCUCACUUUGGCAGCACAUAUACUGAAAUUGGAACAUUACAGAGAAGAUUAGCAUGGCCCUGUGCAAGGAUGACAUACAAAUUCGUGAAGGGUUCCAUAUUUUU